rnacentral:tRNA from 13 species
CAAAACAUCUGAGCUUCAUGAAUGGGCCCCCAAACCCAAACAUCUUUCCUGUCAGUGUUUUUGAAAUGGAAAAAAGUAGACUGUGUAUGCUACUGAAGUAAAUUCAAAUUCUUCUAUUUGUGUUCUUCCCCAGACAUAUGUUGUAAGGACUUUUUUUGUUCACCUUUAAUUCUGAAUGACUGAGAACACUGCUCCCGACAUCUCUAGACUGAAAUUAUUUGAGAACACUGAAAUGCCUAAGGAAAAAGAGCAACACCAUGGACCAGCAUCCAAUAUUGGAACUAAGCCACAUCCAUUUUUCCACAGAAGACCUCAGUUUCAAUGCAAAUCGUUCCUGGAGGAAAAAUGUUCUGUUGAAAAAAGUGACCAACUCUCAUAAUUAUGGUUGCAAAUCCAAACACACCCAGAUGUGCCCUUGUUGUCUUUGGGAUGUCUGAGUUUCUCUGGCAUCUUCAUAUACAGCCACGGCACCUCGAACGGAAGAGGCGAAGCAAGAAUAUAUGUAGGGGGUUUCUCUGCUUGGCCCUGUGAGAAUUCCUCUUCCCUCCACCCUCAAAAGACUGCUAUCCCUCUCAAUUCCAUGCUCUUUACCACCUCACCCCCAGUUUACCCUCUUGUCAUUUCCUCUUGCCCUCUUCCCGCCGUAUCACGUUUCCAAUUCAGAAUCUGUAGAUCCACAAUUGUUUAAAAAGCAGCUCAAACUUCCAACUUAUAAACAUCGCUUCCUCUGUCUCCUGAAUUUAUUUUAAUAGCUGAUAUUUGAGCCCAGGGGAUUGUUUUAACUAACACUGUAUAGUCAGAAGGAAUCACUCUCCUCCAGGCUACCUCUGGGUCAACAGCAUAAGGCAAGACCCCCUCACAUUUCAUUACCCAGGGAUCAGAUCCCUUUUCCCAAUCCAUCACUCUGAAGCUCAUUCCUCCUAUUCCUCUCAGAUUUGCCUUCAUGAUUCAUGCGGUGCCAAAUCAACAGUAUAUUUGCUUUUUUCUCAGUUCAUUGUUUUUAUUUGCUUACAUGUUCCCUGUCAUAGUUCAACUCAUAAAUCAAGGCCGGUUUAUUUUUUACAAACUCGUUGAAAGUUUGAGCCAGUUUCCACUGUUAUGAAAGACUCCCAAUACUACACGUCCUCUAACAGGUGGAAAAUGUCUGUGGAGGCUGUUUGGAUGGGAACGAUUUUCUAACUUAAAGACAAAGUAGUGUUUAUUUAUGGCUUAAUCUAAUUCCACAACAAUGUAACAGUUCACUGCACUGAAUUAUCUCCUCAUGCUGCUAUCCCACUCACAUAUGGCUUUACUAUUUAAAUAAAAAGUGUAAUAUUGAAACAACUUCUAGCUAUUAAGCUCGUGUAACUGAUUACAGUGAAACAAUGUUCCUGAGAUAUUCUGACAGACCAUUUUCCCUUAAGACAACCACUAAGUGUCUGUCCUAACUAAAUUUGGCUUUAAAAAAGCAAGCAAACAAAACCCACAACACGCUCUUCCCCUCCAACCAUUUUACUUAACCUUUACUUUUUUAGGCUCAGAUCAAGAGCUGUUGAUUUCCCAGGUUAUCAGUGGAACACAAACACCUCUUUCCUGGUGAUCUAGACAUGGAGAAAGAGAGAACCCCCCUGCAAAGCUGAGUUUUGUGCACAUUGCGGCGGUUCCUGCUGGGAACAAGGCUCACCGAUCCCCCCAGAUACAACAGAGAGGAAUUGCCUCUGAAGGUCCAUCCUGCCUCAACCCCACUCGCCAAUUUCGAGGGUACUUGGCUGCUAUGAGUGACAGCUCCACCCCCACCUUGGCAAUUUUGUGCGCUGUGGAAGUUUGAGAAAUAAUUUAGAAUAACUGAAAGGUUUCAUUUCUGUAAUGUUUCCUUCGGAUUUGGACACACAACCGUUUUCCACUAUUUUUAUUACAGUGAGAACGAAAUGUUUUACACACCAUAUUGUUUUAGACAGGAAAGCUGUAACGUUUAUCUGAAAAAUGCAAGAAAAUUUUGUUUGACAAUUAUGGGCUUUGUUACCUUGCUUUUUCUUCAGAUGAAAAAUUGACUAAAACUGACCUUUUUCUUGUAAGAUAUCUCAGAUUUGACACAUCAGCAUUUUCCAACCACAGCACGCUUCGAAAAAAACUUACCCAACUUGGACAGUCCCUGUGAACUUGUAUUCUCUGCUUGUUCUUUUCCAGCUCUGAGAUCACUAAGGAUAGAUCCAAUACUAGGUUUCCACAUGCCAAGAAUCCCUCUGUCCUGCACACAAGCUGCCAUCUCACAGAAAAAUCACUUCCAAGUCUCCUACUCAGUGGAGUCAGCAACCUGUCCUUCAAGUCUUUGCAAAAAUCCUGAAUUAAUCUGCUCUAGAGCCAUUAGAAAUAGUUAUUCCUUCCUAAGCACCAGCACUGUUUUUAAUCAAGAUCCGCUCUAAGCUGAGAUCAGGAGUUUGAGAAGCCAUGUUAAGUUUCUGCCAUUCUGUAAAAAUGACAAGAAACAUACAGGAAAAUUAAGAAAGCAGGGAAAAUUAAGAUAGCAGAACCCUAUUUUCCUCCCCAGAAAGGCAGUGCACACAUUCUGUUUUAAGUUUUCACAGGCUCAGCUCCCCGGCUGAAGAUGGCAUUGCACUAAUCCUUGGCAGUGGGAUAGGGGAGAGGCAGAGGUUGGAGGUGAAACCAGACACAUUCAGAUGGAGAUGGGGAUAUGCAGUGAUGAGAACAACCAACCAAUGGCCCAGGAUUCCCUGCCACAGGCUGAUAAAUUCCCAUCUGGAAGCAAGACCACAGAGGCAAUUGCUGGAUGGGGCUCCAUAGUCAAAUGCUGUUAUAAACUUUGCACUUCAACAUCUAAAGAAAUUCUGUAGGCCAGAAAUAUGGACUGUCCAGCUAAGUAUUUCCUAAUGUUUUAAAAUGUAUUAUUUGCUCUUG